rnacentral:rRNA from 1 species
GGGAUAACUACUGGAAACGGUAGCUAAUACCGCAUAACGUCGCAAGACCAAAGAGGGGGACCUUCGGGCCUCUUGCCAUCGGAUGUGCCCAGAUGGGAUUAGCUAGUAGGUGGGGUAACGGCUCACCUAGGCGACGAUCCCUAGCUGGUCUGAGAGGAUGACCAGCCACACUGGAACUGAGACACGGUCCAGACUCCUACGGGAGGCAGCAGUGGGGAAUAUUGCACAAUGGGCGCAAGCCUGAUGCAGCCAUGCCGCGUGUAUGAAGAAGGCCUUCGGGUUGUAAAGUACUUUCAGCGGGGAGGAAGGGAGUAAAGUUAAUACCUUUGCUCAUUGACGUUACCCGCAGAAGAAGCACCGGCUAACUCCGUGCCAGCAGCCGCGGUAAUACGGAGGGUGCAAGCGUUAAUCGGAAUUACUGGGCGUAAAGCGCACGCAGGCGGUUUGUUAAGUCAGAUGUGAAAUCCCCGGGCUCAACCUGGGAACUGCAUCUGAUACUGGCAAGCUUGAGUCUCGUAGAGGGGGGUAGAAUUCCAGGUGUAGCGGUGAAAUGCGUAGAGAUCUGGAGGAAUACCGGUGGCGAAGGCGGCCCCCUGGACGAAGACUGACGCUCAGGUGCGAAAGCGUGGGGAGCAAACGGGAUUAGAUACCCUGGUAGUCCACGCCGUAAACGAUGUCGACUUGGAGGUUGUGCCCUUGAGGCGUGGCUUCCGGAGCU